UACGUAGGGUGCAAGCGUUGUCCGGAAUUAUUGGGCGUAAAGAGCUCGUAGGCGGUCUGUCGCGUCUGCUGUGAAAACUCGGGGCUUAACCCCGAGCCUGCUUCUGAUACGGGCAGACUAGAGGUAUGCAGGGGAGAACGAAUUCCUGGUGUAGCGGUGAAAUGCGCAGAUAUCAGGAGGAACACCGGUGGCGAAGGCGGUUCUCUGGGCAUUACCUGACGCUGAGGAGCGAAAGUGUGGGGAGCGAACAGG
rnacentral:rRNA from 1 species